rnacentral:rRNA from 1 species
UACGUAGGGUGCGAGCGUUAAUCGCAAUUACUGGGCGUAAAGCGUGCGCAGGCGGCUUUGCAAGACAGAUGUGAAAUCCCCGGGCUCAACCUGGGAACUGCAUUUGUGACUGCAAGGCUAGAGUACGGCAGAGGGGGAUGGAAUUCCGCGUGUAGCAGUGAAAUGCGUAGAUAUGCGGAGGAACACCAAUGGCGAAGGCAAUCCCCUGGGCCUGUACUGACGCUCAUGCACGAAAGCGUGGGGAGCAAACAGG